rnacentral:tRNA from 1 species
GCUCGGGUGGUGGAACUGGUAGACACGCAGGUCUCAGAAGCCUGUGACGAACAGUCGUGGGGGUUCAAGUCCCCCCCCGAGCA